rnacentral:tRNA from 1 species
GGGGUUGUGGCUCAGUGGUAGAGCGCUUGUCUUGCAAAUAUGAGGCCCUGGGUUCAAUUCUA